CAGCAGCCGCGGUAAUACGUAGGGUGCAAGCGUUAAUCGGAAUUACUGGGCGUAAAGCGUGCGCAGGCGGUUUGUUAAGACAGAUGUGAAAUCCCCGGGCUCAACCUGGGAACUGCAUUUGUGACUGGCAAGCUAGAGCAUGGCAGAGGGGGGUGGAAUUCCGCGUGUAGCAGUGAAAUGCGUAGAUAUGUGGAGGAACACCGAUGGCGAAGGCAGCCCCCUGGGCCAAUACUGACGCUCAUGCACGAAAGCGUGGGGAGCAAACAGGAUUAGAUACCCCCGUAGUCCCUGUCUCUUAUAC
rnacentral:rRNA from 1 species